rnacentral:rRNA from 1 species
CAUAGAUUAUUUCAGGUGAAUUCGAUUGUAAGCUACGGUCGAAGGAUGCAAGAGUUCUUAUUCAGACGAAGAAAGGGAUCAAGCAUCAGAACGUUGUAGUCAUCUAAAAAUAGCCGACUAGGAUUGGAUGGGACUACCAUUCAGUCCUAUGGAAAUCAAAGUCUUGUUCGGGGGAGGUAUGUCGCAAGACUGAACCUUAAAGAAAUUGACGAAGGCACCACCAGGAAGUGGAGGCGGGCGCCUGAUUGACUCACACGGGGAAACUUACCAGGUCAAAGAGAAGAAGAGAAUGACAGAUGAUAGCUCUUCUGAUUCUAUAGUGGUGGUGCUUUCCGUCUAGUUGUGGAGUGAUUUGUCUGUUAAAUCCGAUAACGAACGAGACCUUAACUGCUAAUUAGUCAUUCUCAUUUUAUGGGGCACGACUUCUUAGAGGGACUAUGCAUAUCAAGUGCAUGAAAAGUAAGAGGCAAUAACAGGUCUGUGAUGCCCUUAUAUGUCCUGGGCUGCACGCGUGCUACACUGAUGCAUACAACAAGUGCCUAGCUAGACAUAGUAUGGCAAUCUGGAAUAUGCAUCGUGAUGGGGAUAGAUCUUUGCAAUUAUAGAUCUUGAACGAGGAAUUCCUAGUAAGUGCAAGUCAUCAUCUUGCAUUGAUUAUUUCCCUGCCCUUUGUGCAGAGCAAAACCGUCGCUCCUACCGAUACCGGGUGAUCCGGUGAACCUUUUGGACCUUCAUGGAAAAAUAAGUAAACCUUAUCACCUUUGAAGGAGAAGUCGUAACAAGUAAUCGGAUCCCUUUCCCUUCUCGCAGA